rnacentral:rRNA from 1 species
AACAGCUGCGGUAUUAUAACUGUACUAAGGUAGCAUAAUAAUUUGCCUUAUAAAUUAGGGCUAGAAUGAAUGGUUUGACGAAAAUUAAGCUGUCUCUGUUUUAUUUGUUAGAAAUUAAUUUUUAUAGUGAAAAAGCUUUAAUUAUUUAAAGGGACGAGAAGACCCUAUUGAGCUUAAUAUUAAUAUUUAAAUAUAGAACAAGUUUUAAAAUUAAAUUAUUUGUUUAUUGUAUAAAUGUUUAUUUUUAUUUAAUUUUGGUUGGGGUGAUCAAGGAAUAAGAUAGAUAUAAUAACUUCCUUAAGUAUAUUUAAUUUUUAUUGAGUAAUAAACCAAAUUUUUUGCUUAUAAGAUAAGUUACCAUAGGGGUAACAGCGUAAUUUUUUUUGAGAGUUCAUAUUAAAAGAAGAGAUUGCGACCUCGAUGUUGGAUUAAAAAUAACCUUAAGGUGUAGAGGCUUUAUUGGGUGAAUCUGUUCGAUUUUUAAAAUUUU